rnacentral:rRNA from 1 species
GACGAACGCUGGCGGCGUGCUUAACACAUGCAAGUCGUACGGUAAGGCCCUUUCGGGGGUACACGAGUGGCGAACGGGUGAGUAACACGUGAGUAACCUGCCCACAACUUUGGGAUAACGCUAGGAAACUGGUGCUAAUACUGGAUAUGUGCCCCUGCUGCAUGGUGGGGGUUGGAAAGCUCCGGCGGUUGUGGAUGGACUCGCGGCCUAUCAGCUUGUUGGUGGGGUAGUGGCCUACCAAGGCGGCGACGGGUAGCCGGCCUGAGAGGGUGACCGGCCACAUUGGGACUGAGAUACGGCCCAGACUCCUACGGGAGGCAGCAGUGGGGAAUAUUGCACAAGGGGCGCAAGCCUGAUGCAGCAACGCCGCGUGCGGGAUGACGGCCUUCGGGUUGUAAACCGCUUUCAGCAGGGACGAAGCUUUUUGUGACGGUACCUGCAGAAGAAGCACCGGCUAACUACG